rnacentral:rRNA from 1 species
CCUACGGGCGGCAGCAGUGAGGAAUAUUGGUCAAUGGACGAGAGUCUGAACCAGCCAAGUAGUGUGAAGGAUGACUGCCCUAUGGGUUGUAAACUUCUUUUAUAUGGGAAUAAAAUGUUCCACGUGUGGGAUUUUGUAUGUACCAUAUGAAUAAGGAUCGGCUAACUCCGUGCCAGCAGCCGCGGUAAUACGGAGGAUCCGAGCGUUAUCCGGAUUUAUUGGGUUUAAAGGGAGCGUAGGUGGAUUGUUAAGUCAGUUGUGAAAGUUUGCGGCUCAACCGUAAAAUUGCAGUUGAAACUGGCAGUCUUGAGUACAGUAGAGGUGGGCGGAAUUCGGGGUGUAGCGGUGAAAUGCUUAGAUAUCGAAGAACUCCGAUUGCGAAGGCAGUUCACUGGACUGCAACUGACACUGAGGCUCGAAAGUGUGGGUAUCAAACAGGAUUAGAUACCCGAGUAGUC